CUAGCUUGCUAGAUGCUGACGAGUGGCGGACGGGUGCGUAACGCGUGGGAAUUUACCCAGUAGUAGGGGAUAACUUGGGGAAACUCAAGCUAAUACCAUAUAAGUCCUACGGGAGAAAGAGGGCCUCUUCUUGAAAGCUCUCGCUAUUGGAUGAGCCCGCGUCGGAUUAGCUAGUUGGUAGGGUAAUGGCCUACCAAGGCGACGAUCCGUAGCUGGUCUGAGAGGAUGAUCAGCCACACUGGGACUGAGACACGGCCCAGACUCC
rnacentral:rRNA from 1 species